GACGAACGCUGGCGGCGUGCUUAACACAUGCAAGUCGAUCGGUAACGCGGGGGCAACCCUGGCGACGAGAGGCGGACGGGUGAGGAACGCUUGGGAAUCUGCCUAUCAGCGGGGGACAACACGGGGAAACUCGUGCUAAUACCGCAUACGCUCUACGGAGGAAAGCCGGGGACCGCAAGGCCGGGCACUGAUAGAUGAGCGCAUGCCGGAGUAGCUAGUGGGCGGGGUAACGGCCCACCAAGGCGACGAUCCGUAGCUGGUCUGAGAGGACGAUCAGCCAAACUGGAACUGGGACACGGUCCAGACUCCUACGGGAGGCAGCAGUGGGGAAUAUUGGACAAUGGGGGAAACCCUGAUCCAGCGACGCCGCGUGGGUGAAGAAGGCCUGCGGGUUGUAAAGCCCUUUCGGUAGGGACGAAAGCUCUCGACCUAACACGUCGGGAGGUUGACUUAACCUACAGAAGAAGCACCGGCUAACUCUGUGCCAGCAGCCGCGGUAAGAC
rnacentral:rRNA from 1 species